rnacentral:sRNA from 1 species
AAAAAGCAGGGGUUGUAGGGGAUGAAAUCCCCUUCCGCAGUAAGAGAGGUGCUCAGACUGCCUUGCAGUCGUCGAACAGUCG